AGCGAACGCUGGCGGCAGGCCUAACACAUGCAAGUCGAACGGAUCCUUCGGGAUUAGUGGCGGACGGGUGAGUAACACGUGGGAACGUGCCCUUUGGUUCGGAACAACUCAGGGAAACUUGAGCUAAUACCGGAUAAGCCUUUCGAGGGAAAGAUUUAUCGCCUUUAGAGCGGCCCGCGUCUGAUUAGCUAGUUGGUGAG
rnacentral:rRNA from 1 species